AGUGCUGCAGUUAACGCAUUAAGCACUCCCCUUCGGGAGUACGACCGCAAGGUUGAAAUUCAAAGGAAUAGACGGCGACCCGCACAAGCGGUGGCGCAUGUGGUGUAAUUCGAAGCAACGCGAAGAACCUUAGCAAAUCUUGACAUCCUUUGACCCUUGUAGAGAUAGAAGUUUCCCGUUAGGGGGACAACGUGACAGGUCACGCAUGGUCGUCGUCAGCUACAGUCGUGAGAUGUCGGAAGACGUCCCGCAACGAGCGCAACCGUUAAGUCUAGUUGCCAUCCUAAGUUGGGCACUCUAAGUUGACCGCCGGUGACAAACCGGAGGAAGGUGGGGAUGACGUCAAAUCAUCAUGCCCUUUAUGAUCUGGGCUACACACGUGCUACAAUGGACAAUACAAAGGGCAGCGAAACCGCGAGGUCAAGCAAAUCCCAUAAAGUUGUUCUCAGUUCGGAUUGUAGUCUGCAACUCGACUACAUGAAGCUGGAAUCGCUAGUAAUCGUAGAUCAGCAUGGUACGGUGAAUACGUUCCCGGGUCUUGUACACACCGACUCGUCACAUCCAGCGCAGAGUUUGUCAACACGCACGCAAGCCCGGUGGA
rnacentral:rRNA from 1 species